AUUCCUGUAAGGCACCCGCUGAGGGCAACAGGGAAAGGGACCCCAGGCAGAGGGACUAGCGCCACCUGCUGGUAGCUGCGACAGACAGCGGGUGAGGUUAACGGACCGGGCAGUGCACAGUGCACAGCUCCCGGGAUAACGGGACAGGACACAGGACUCACUGAGGGGAAGGAGCAGCCAGGACCACGGUGACUGACAUGCCAUCAAACUGAGCAGUGCACAACACAGAGGUCAUUCCCAGCGCCCUGCCGUCCUGUCAGUCACUCAUCACCAGGUCCUUCCUUCCUGAGAAAACAGGGUUUAAUCCAAGAUGAGUCAUGCUCCACCCUCCUCCUCUCCAUCCGCGAGAAAUCUGUCACUGUCAAAGACUUUCCACAAAUGACAUCUACAAAAAGUAACUCAGGCCAACUACUGAGGUGUGUUUUAAGAAUCAUUAAAAAUCUUCUCUAUAUAAA